rnacentral:lncRNA from 1 species
UAGUUUUGUUAAGACCGUUACCUUAGCCAUGCUCAGCAUACCUCCAAUAUGUGGCAGGGAGAUGUUAGCUGCAGGCCAAUGGGGAUUUUUUGAAACAUAGGAGGUUGCACCACACUAUGAGGGACCAGGUCCCUUAGAGUUAGACACAGGUAACAAAACAGUAAAGCAUUAGGAAACUAAAACUUCGCUGGAAAUUAAAGAACACAAAGAUUUAACAUGGAAA